rnacentral:rRNA from 1 species
GCAUAUCAAUAAGCGGAGGAAAAGAAACCAACAGGGAUUACCUCAGUAACGGCGAAGUGAAGCGGUAACAGCUCAAAUUUGAAAUCUGGCAGCAAUGUCCGAGUUGUAAUUUGUAGAGGAUGUUUCGAGCAUGGUCUGGCCUAAGUUCCUUGGAACAGGACGUCAUAGAGGGUGAGAAUCCCGUAUGCGGUCAGGUGCCUACGCUCAUGUGAAACUCCUUCGACGAGUCGAGUUGUUUGGGAAUGCAGCUCAAAAUGGGUGGUAAAUUUCAUCUAAAGCUAAAUAUUGGCCAGAGACCGAUAGCGCACAAGUAGAGUGAUCGAAAGAUGAAAAGCACUUUGGAAAGAGAGUUAAACAGUACGUGAAAUUGUUGAAAGGGAAGCGCUUGCAACCAGACUUGCACGCAGUUAAUCAUCCGCUGUUCUCAGUGGUGCACUUGAUUGCGUUCAGGCCAGCAUCGGUUUUGGUGGUGGGAUAAAGGCCUUAGGAAUGUAGCUGCUUUCGGGCAGUGUUAUAGCCUAGGGUGCAAUGCCGCCUACUGGGACCGAGGACCGCGCUUCGGCUAGGAUGCUGGCGUAAUGGUUGUAAGCGACCCGUCUUGAAACACGGACCAAGGAGUCUAACAUCUAUGCGAGUGUUUGGGUGUCAAACCCAUACGCGUAAUGAAAGUGAACGGAGGUCAGAACCCUUAAGGGUGCAUGAUCGACCGGUCCUGAAGUCUUCGGAUGGAUCUGAGUAAGAGCAUAGCUGUUGGGACCCGAAAGAUGGUGAACUAUGCCUGAAUAGGGUGAAGCCAGAGGAAACUCUGGUGGAGGCUCGCAGCGGUUUCUGACGUGCAAAUCGAUCGUCAAAUUUGGGGUAUAGGGGCGAAAGACUAAUCGAACCAUCUAGUAGCUGGUUCUGCGA